GACGAACGCUGGCGGCGUGCUUAACACAUGCAAGUCGAACGGAAAGGCCCCUUCGGGGGUACUCGAGUGGCGAACGGGUGAGUAACACGUGGGCAACCUGCCCUCAGCUUCGGGAUAACACUUGGAAACAGGUGCUAAUACCGGAUAAUAACUUGUCAUCGCAUGGUGGUGGGUUCAAAGUUUUUCGGCUGAGGAUGGGCCCGCGGCCUAUCAGCUUGUUGGUGGGGUAAGUGGCCUACCAAGGCGACGACGGGUGGCCGGCCUGAGAGGGCGACCGGCCACACUGGGACUGAGACACGGCCCAGACUCCUACGGGAGGCAGCAGUGGGGAAUAUUGCGCAAUGGGCGGAAGCCUGACGCAGCGACGCCGCGUGAGGGA
rnacentral:rRNA from 1 species